rnacentral:rRNA from 1 species
UACGAAGGGGGCUAGCGUUGUUCGGAAUUACUGGGCGUAAAGCGUGCGCAGGCGGCUUCUCAAGUCAGGGGUGAAAGCCCAGAGCUCAACUCUGGAAUUGCCUUUGAGACUGAGAGGCUUGAGUAUGGGAGAGGUGAGUGGAAUUCCCAGUGUAGAGGUGAAAUUCGUAGAUAUUGGGAAGAACACCAGUGGCGAAGGCGGCUCACUGGACCGUAACUGACGCUCAUGCACGACAGCGUGGGGAUCAAACAGG